AACGAACGCUGGCGGCAGGCUUAACACAUGCAAGUCGAACGCAUCCUUCGGGGUGAGUGGCAGACGGGUGAGUAACGCGUGGGAACAUGCCCUUCAGUUCGGAAUAACCCAGGGAAACUUGGGCUAAUACCGGAUACGUGCGAGAGCAGAAAGAUUUAUCGCUGAAGGAGUGGCCCGCGUCUGAUUAGCUAGUUGGUGAGGUAAAGGCUCACCAAGGCGACGACCAGUGGCUGGUCUGAGAGGAUGAUCAGCCACACUGGGACUGAGACACGGCGCAGACUCCGAGGGGAGGGAGCAGUGGGGAGUAUUGGACAAUGGGCGCAAGCCUGAUCCAGCCAUGCCGCGUGAGUGAUGAAGGCCUUAGGGUUGUAAAGCUCUUUCGGCGGGGACGAUAAUGACGGUACCCGCAGAAGAAGCCCCGGCUAACUUCGUGCCAGACGCCGCAGUAA
rnacentral:rRNA from 1 species